AGAGUUUGAUCCUGGCUCAGAUUGAACGCUGGCGGCAUGCCUUACACAUGCAAGUCGAACGGUAACAGGUCUUCGGAUGCUGACGAGUGGCGAACGGGUGAGUAAUACAUCGGAACGUGCCUAGUAGUGGGGGAUAACUACUCGAAAGAGUAGCUAAUACCGCGUGAGAUCUACGGAUGAAAGCAGGGGAUCGCAAGACCUUGUGCUACUAGAGCGGCUGAUGGCAGAUUAGGUAGUUGGUGGGAUAGAAGCUUACCAAGCCGACGAUCUGUAGCUGGUCUGAGAGGACGAUCAGCCACACUGGGACUGAGACACGGCUCAGACUCCUACGGGAGGCAGCAGUGGGGAAUUUUGGACAAUGGGCGAAAGCCUGAUCCAGCAAUGCCGCGUGCAGGAUGAAGGCCUUCGGGUUGUAAACUGCUUUUGUACGGAACGAAAAGCUUCGGGUUAAUACCCUGGAGUCAUGACGGUACCGUAAGAAUAAGCACCGGCUAACUACGUGCCAGCAGCCGCGGUAAUACGUAGGGUGCAAGCGUUAAUCGGAAUUACUGGGCGUAAAGCGUGCGCAGGCGGUUUUGUAAGACAGUGGUGAAAUCCCCGGGCUCAACCUGGGAACUGCCAUUGUGACUGCAAAGCUAGAGUACGGCAGAGGGGGGUGGAAUUCCGCGUGUAGCAGUGAAAUGCGUAGAUAUGCGGAGGAACACCGAUGGCGAAGGCAACCCCCUGGGCCUGUACUGACGCUCAUGCACGAAAGCGUGGGGAGCAAACAGGAUUAGACACCCUGGUAGUCCACGCCCUAAACGAUGUCAACUGGUUGUUGGGUCUUAACUGACUCAGUAACGAAGCUAACGCGUGAAGUUGACCGCCUGGGGAGUACGGCCGCAAGGUUGAAACUCAAAGGAAUUGACGGGGACCCGCACAAGCGGUGGAUGAUGUGGUUUAAUUCGAUGCAACGCGAAAAACCUUACCCACCUUUGACAUGUACGGAAUCCUUUAGAGAUAGAGGAGUGCUCGAAAGAGAGCCGUAACACAGGUGCUGCAUGGCUGUCGUCAGCUUGUGUCGUGAGAUGUUGGGUUAAGUCCUGCAACGAGCGCAACCCUUGCCAUUAGUUGCUACAUUUAGUUGAGCACUCUAAUGGGACUGCCGGUGACAAACCGGAGGAAGGUGGGGAUGACGUCAAGUCCUCAUGGCCCUUAUAGGUGGGGCUACACACGUCAUACAAUGGCUGGUACAAAGGGUUGCCAACCCGCGAGGGGGAGCUAAUCCCAUAAAGCCAGUCGUAGUCCGGAU
rnacentral:rRNA from 1 species